rnacentral:rRNA from 1 species
CCGGGUUGCGGACAGUGUCUGGUGGGUAGUUUGACUGGGGCGGUCUCCUCCCAAAGAGUAACGGAGGAGCACGAAGGUUGGCUAAUCCUGGUCGGACAUCAGGAGGUUAGUGCAAUGGCAUAAGCCAGCUUGACUGCGAGCGUGACGGCGCGAGCAGGUGCGAAAGCAGGUCAUAGUGAUCCGGUGGUUCUGAAUGGAAGGGCCAUCGCUCAACGGAUAAAAGGUACUCCGGGGAUAACAGGCUGAUACCGCCCAAGAGUUCAUAUCGACGGCGGUGUUUGGCACCUCGAUGUCGGCUCAUCACAUCCUGGGGCUGAAGUAGGUCCCAAGGGUAUGGCUGUUCGCCAUUUAAAGUGGUACGCGAGCUGGGUUUAGAACGUCGUGAGACAGUUCGGUCCCUAUCUGCCGUGGGCGCUGGAGAAUUGAGGGGGGCUGCUCCUAGUACGAGAGGACCGGAGUGGACGCAUCACUGGUGUUCGGGUUGUCAUGCCAAUGGCACUGCCCGGUAGCUAAAUGCGGAAGAGAUAAGUGCUGAAAGCAUCUAAGCACGAAACUUGCCCCGAGAUGAGUUCUCCCUGACCCUUUAAGGGUCCUGAAGGAACGUUGAAGACGACGACGUUGAUAGGUCGGGUGUGUAAGCGCAGCGAUGCGUUGAGCUAACCGAUACUAAUGAACCGUGAGGCUUAACCUUACAACGCCGAAGGUGUUU